rnacentral:rRNA from 1 species
GCAUAUCAAUAAGCGGAGGAAAAGAAACCAACAGGGAUUGCCUCAGUAACGGCGAGUGAAGCGGCAACAGCUCAAAUUUGAAAUCUGGCCCCUCCGGGUCCGAGUUGUAAUUUGCAGAGGAUGCUUUGGGCGCGGUGCCUUCCGAGUUCCCUGGAACGGGACGCCACAGAGGGUGAGAGCCCCGUCUGGUUGGACACCAAGCCUAUGUAAAGCUCCUUCGACGAGUCGAGUAGUUUGGGAAUGCUGCUCUAAAUGGGAGGUACAUGCCUUCUAAAGCUAAAUACCGGCCAGAGACCGAUAGCGCACAAGUAGAGUGAUCGAAAGAUGAAAAGCACUUUGGAAAGAGAGUUAAACAGCACGUGAAAUUGUUAAAAGGGAAGCGUUUAUGACCAGACGUGGGCCGGUUAAUCAUCCAGCGUUCUCGCUGGUGCACUUUGCCGGUCCAGGCCAGCAUCAGUUCGCCGCGGGGGACAAAGGCGUCGGGAAUGUGGCUCCUCGGAGUGUUAUAGCCCUUCGCGCAAUACCCUGGGGCGGACUGAGGUUCGCGCUCUGCAAGGAUGCUGGCGUAAUGGUCAUCAACGACCCGUCUUGAAACACGGACCAAGGAGUCGUCUUCGUAUGCGAGUGUUCGGGUGUAAAACCCCUACGCGUAAUGAAAGUGAACGCAGGUGAGAGCUUCGGCGCAUCAUCGACCGAUCCUGAUGUUCUCGGAUGGAUUUGAGUAAGAGCAUACGGGGCCGGACCCGAAAGAAGGUGAACUAUGCCUGUAUAGGGUGAAGCCAGAGGAAACUCUGGUGGAGGCUCGCAGCGGUUCUGACGUGCAAAUCGAUCGUCAAAUAUGGGCAUGGGGGCGAAAGACUAAUCGAACCUUCUAGUAGCUGGUUUCCGCCGAAGU